rnacentral:rRNA from 1 species
CCUACGGGUGGCAGCAGUGAGGAAUAUUGGUCAAUGGGCGGAAGCCUGAACCAGCAAAGUAGCGUGCAGGAUGACGGCCCUACGGGUUGUAAACUGCUUUUAUACGGGAAUAACGCGCCUUAAGUGUAGGGCUUUGCAUGUACCGUAUGAAUAAGGACCGGCUAAUUCCGUGCCAGCAGCCGCGGUAAUACGGAAGGUCCGGGCGUUAUCCGGAUUUAUUGGGUUUAACGGGAGCGUAGGCCGCAUGUCAAGCGUGCUGUGAAAUGUCCGGGCUCAACCCGGGCCUUGCAGCGCGAACUGGCGUGCUUGAGUCCGCGGAAAGCAGGCGGAAUUCGUCGUGUAGCGGUGAAAGGCUUAGAUAUGACGAAGAACCCCGAUUGCGAAGGCAGCUUGCUGCAGCGGAACUGACGCUGAUGCUCGAAAGCGCGGGUAUCGAACAGGAUUAGAUACCCCAGUAGUC